rnacentral:ncRNA from 2 species
UAUAAUGAAAGCAGUUGAGGUGACCCGCAGGCACGGAAGCCAGGGCAUAAAGGUGGAAGCUGGUGAGAGUCCAGCGCUGUACCGCAACUGUAAGUCAGUCCGUUUGACAAGUCAGGAAGCCUGCCUCAGCAUAUUACAUCUA